rnacentral:rRNA from 1 species
GGCUAAUGCCGGAUACGCAUGGAACCGCAUGGUUCCGUUGUGAAAGGCGCUGUAAGGCGCCACUAAAAGAUGAGGGUGCGGAACAUUAGUUAGUUGGUGAGGUAAUGGCCCACCAAGACUAUGAUGUUUAGCCGGGUCGAGAGACUGAACGGCCACAUUGGGACUGAGAUACGGCCCAAACUCCUACGGGAGGCAGCAGGG